AACUUUCAACAACGGAUCUCUUGGUUCUGGCAUCGAUGAAGAACGCAGCAAAAUGCGAUAAGUAAUGUGAAUUGCAGAAUUCAGUGAAUCAUCGAAUCUUUGAACGCACAUUGCGCCCGAUGGUAUUCCGGCGGGCAUGCCUGUUCGAGCGUCAUUU
rnacentral:rRNA from 2 species